CAGCAGCCACGGGAAUACAGAGGGUGCAAGCGUUAAUCGGAUUUACUGGGCGUAAAGGGCGCGUAGGUGGUUAUGUAAGUGAGAUGUGAAAUCCCCGGGCUCAACCUGGGAAUUGCAUCUUAUACUGCGUAGCUGGAGUGCAGUAGAGGGUAGUGGAAUUUCCGGUGUAGCGGUGAAAUGCGUAGAUAUGCGGAGGAACACCGAUGGCGAAGGCAGCCCCCUGGGCCAACACUGACGCUCAUGCACGAAAGUGUGGGGAGCAAACAGGAUUAGAUACCCCCGUAGUCCCUGUCUCUUAUAC
rnacentral:rRNA from 1 species